rfam:Anaerococcus lactolyticus ATCC 51172 genomic scaffold SCAFFOLD9, whole genome shotgun sequence.
UAUGGUGAUGAUUGCAUAAGGGAUACACCUGUUCCCAUACCGAACACAGAAGUUAAGCCUUAUAACGCCGAUGGUACUGCUCGGGCAACCGUGUGGUAGAGUAGGAAGUCGCCAAAU